UGCCCAGCAACUGCUAUCCCUACCUCCUCGUGGUACUGGCCGCGGUACGAGUAACCUUGGGGAAGAUCGGGUGACCAACCCCCCGGUGGGAACUUUGGUUGUAUGCUGACAGAGAAGG
rfam:Aedes aegypti strain Liverpool supercont1.227 genomic scaffold, whole genome shotgun sequence.